UUGACCUCGGAUCGGGCAAGGAUACCCGCUGAACUUAA
rnacentral:rRNA from 1 species